rnacentral:lncRNA from 1 species
CGGAAGGACGGUCUGCAAGGUCUGCACGGUUUGCACGAGGAAGGUGGCGACCCCGGGCAGGCUCCGGCUCUGAGGGAUUUACAGCUAGCCUCGUAAACACCGCGCCCGAGCCCUCCAGGGACCCCAGAGGCACAAGCAGCUCGGGGCUUCCUGCGGGGGGCGCUGCGGCCCAAAAUGCCCGGGUGCAAAACAAGACCCAGUAGCAACUUCCAAUGCCGCCCUGGGACAGAAAGCUGCGGGUCUCACGGGCCCCGCUCGGGGCGCCCGGGGUUCUCGUGCACUUUGCAGGGUGGGGGUGGAGCUGUGCUGAUUUUCACCGAGAGCACUCCACUUCCGGUGCCCCACGCAUUAUUUCGGCGCCAUAUUGUUUCCCAGACCGGCCUCCAGAUUUGGUUGAAUGAAGCUGGCAUAGACAGGAAAGUUAUGAGGUGUGGAGUUUCGCUCCCGUGUCCUGUGGUGACGUAAGCGUGGACCUCCGGCUCUGGGCAAGAGUGUCUCCAAGUUUUGCUGGCCUCAUCAGCAGCAUGGGGAAGAGGUAAACAGUUCCCUCCCUGCUGGGUUGUUGGAGGGAUCAGGUGAAACACUGCAUUAUGUCUGACACGUGUAACAAGUGCUUGAUAAAUAUUUGCUACCUGAAAACAGUAUAACUCGUUGAAAGAAGUCCAAAGAAAUCAGUGCAAAUGUUAAGCUGGUAUGUUUUCCUGUGAAUGGAAAACCAUCGUCUUUAGGCUAAAACCAAACAAAAAAACCCCAAGUUGUAUUUUCCUUUUUGGCUGGGUUUUCCAUUAAAAAAGAUUCUUCCUAAACGUAAACAAGCAAAUGAACUAAAGGAAAUUUACAAUUGUGGGUUGUCAUUAAAUUGCAAGGCCCCCCCUUGGGACCGGGUAGAAGCCCAUUGCUCCAUACCUCUGGCCCGCGGAGUCAUUCAAGGAUGCCCUUCCCGCGACUGGACAAAACGAUGCAGGCCGAUUUUCCAUGUGUGACGUCUACCGUGCUCUGGGGAUGGUUCCCACUGGCCACUGACCAAUCUGAGGUGACUGCUUUCUUUCCACAUGGAAAAACUGCAUCUACUGGGAGAGAUCAGAGUCCCGGAGUCCUUUGUGUCUCAUGACGUCAGAAGCAUUUCCUAGUCCAUUUCCCUAGAGUCUGACCACCAGGAGCACUGACCCUGUUUUAAACGUGAAAGUCCGUCUGACAUGACUAGAAUUUUCCCCGACCACAGCCAUUCGACUCAAGUUGGAACGCACUGGUAGUGUGGGUGUUCCUCGUUCGUACCAGGGCCCCUGCUCAGAGGAUGAGUAGGAAUUAGCCUUUGCACGGACACCAGGCUGCCCUCAAGGGUAUUUACCAACUGUAUGGUCUUGAGAUAUUCUUCCUUUCCAGUUUCUGGGUAUUCAUCUGUAAAAUGAGGCAAUAGAAGCUAACAGGGUUAGCGUGUGAGGAAUAAAACCCCGGAAUAUGAAGGUUUGUUAUACA